rnacentral:lncRNA from 1 species
AGAGCAUUUAACAUAACUGUCUUCAUCAUCUCCUUCUCUAAUUAAAAACUAUGGUUCACAAAGACAUUAUUGGUGAUUCAAUCUUGAGUCAUGAAAAGCCAACCUUGAGCCACAAAAAGUCAACCUUGAGCCAAGCAGAGUGGAGAGUCAUACUGGCCAUUCCUGGGACCAUCAAAAAUGGCAGAGGUCACACAAAAGGCAAAACCUUUAAGAGGUGUUUUAAACAUCGUAUGGGCCAAAGAGAAUCUGGAUUUCCUAUUGCAGUCAGCUGUAACACACGUGUGACAAAUUGGGCUGUGAGGACAAGGCAGUGAGUAGAGACGACAGCAGUCCUUAUGAGAUCAAGCUCUAAGGUAUCCUAGAUACAUUUGGAGAAUUCACCUGAGCUACAGGAUGUGAAAAGUUGCUAAAACCGCUGUGAGAUUCUGGCUAAGAAAAUUUCAUGAGAAGUUUUACAGAAAAAUGUGAACAGAAGAAAGAACUAGAUAUAAAUUUGAAUGUUUUGAGAAGAAUGCAAAGAAGAAGGGAAGAGUGAGCCUCUCUUUUCCCAUCGUUACCCUCCAUUGUCCUCUUGACACCCUGCUUUUGCAGACAGAGAGUUUGAGACCCUCUCCCAGGAGCCAAGGAGAGGGGAACAGCUGGCUUCACAUCAUCUUUCUAUUCAACAAGACACAAAAAGCUGAAGCCAGGAUGAUAGAAAAGCAACAAAGAAGACACGGUCCUUACUCAUUUCCCUUCCC